rnacentral:rRNA from 1 species
GAUGAACGCUGGCGGCGUGCCUAAUACAUGCAAGUCGAGCGAACGGACGAGAAGCUUGCUUCUCUGAUGUUAGCGGCGGACGGGUGAGUAACACGUGGAUAACCUACCUAUAAGACUGGGAUAACUUCGGGAAACCGGAGCUAAUACCGGAUAAUAUUUUGAACCGCAUGGUUCAAAAGUGAAAGACGGUCUUGCUGUCACUUAUAGAUGGAUCCGCGCUGCAUUAGCUAGUUGGUAAGGUAACGGCUUACCAAGGCAACGAUGCAUAGCCGACCUGAGAGGGUGAUCGGCCACACUGGAACUGAGACACGGUCCAGACUCCUACGGGAGGCAGCAGUAGGGAAUCUUCCGCAAUGGGCGAAAGCCUGACGGAGCAACGCCCCGUGAGUGAUGAAGGUCUUCGGAUCGUAAAACUCUGUUAUUAGGGAAGAACAUAUGUGUAAGUAACUGUGCACACCUUGACGGUACCUAAUCAGAAAGCCACGGCUAACUACGUG